UAAAAUAGGAGUUCUCUUUGGAAAUCU
rnacentral:piRNA from 1 species